rnacentral:lncRNA from 1 species
AAGAAAAUAAAGCAAAUUAAAAAACCUAACCCAGUCAAAUCAAUGAGCAGCUGGCAACCAAUAACGUCUGACGAUUUGUUAUUUCCAAAGCUCCUAACGUUUAAUUAAUAGCAGUCCCCUAGGCAUUCAAUCUUCACUCUGCUGUCUAUUUCGGUCACAUUUCCUCUGAAGCAGUUCCUCAAUCUGGAUUUCUUGACCGAUAUCCUACCGAAGCCAGAUUCUGACUAUCUAGUUCCUCACCCCUCAGGUAAAUCGUCUCUCCUUUCUCGAAUGCGAUCUUUGCUAUUCUGUGAGCAUCUAAGUUUUCUGACCUGUUAAUAUACUGGAAAAUAAGAUCUUGAAAGUCAGAUUUCUUCUGUUGAAUAUCUCUGAUGAUGGCUCCAAUAACUGAUUUGUCUGUGGAAGUCUCUUGACAUUUCUUUAUUACAGUUUUUGAAUCCCCCAUAAGUUUCACUGAAUGGAUUCGUAAUGAAAUCCCUAACUUUACUCCUUCUAAACAUGCAUGAGCCUCUGCUGCGAAAGGAGAAGAAACAUUUCUGUGAAUAACUAUUUUUAACGCUAUUAAGACUCCCCUCGAGUCCCAACCUACAAGGCCGGACGCUGAACUGGAGGUAUUACUGUCGUACGCUGCAUCAAAAUGGAUCCUGGCUGUCGGUGUAAGCUCUUGUACUCUAUAGCUUCUGCAUGUGACCUCAUUAGUUUUUAAGACUUUUAAUCCUCUCUGUUCUAACUCAUAUCUUUGUAUGUUAAGUACUAAGGCCCUUCCUGGAAUGAUAUUUCUCUCAUGAAUAAGUUGAUUUCUAGAAAACCAUAUCCACCAUAGCGCAUAGCAAAAGGAAAAGCAUUGGUCAUUGUUUCCCCUCUUGAAAACCCAGGUUAACCACUCCCACAUAGUAUGGCUCCUAUUGUUCAUAACCCAUGCGAAAUUUAACAAAUGCCAAACUUCUGCUGUUAUAGGGCAAUCUCGAAAGAUGUGGAGGCUGUCUUCGACCUCAGAGCUGCACCGGGGACAUCUGUCGUUUGAAACCACUCUCCUUAUACUGAGAUUAACAAAGUUUGGAAUAAAGUCCCAAGAGAUCCGCCAGAUUGUAAACGCAAUUUUAGAUGGUAGCUGAAGGCUCCAUAGUUUUUUUAUAAAAAUCCUUUGUUUCGGUUUGUAAUAAAUAGUCACUAGGAUCCAUAUUUGCAUUUUGUAAUAGUUUAUAGGCACUACGAACAGAGAACUCACCAGAUAAUUCCCCUUUCCAAGCCUGAAAAUCAUCAUGCGCAAUCUCUGCAAGAGGAAUUUCAAGGAUUUUCCGAACUAUGUCCUCAGGAAAGGUAUUCUGAAUCAACUCCAAGUUCCAUUUUCUGUUUGAAUGAUCAAGAUGAUCCGCAACUAACUUAAUUUCCCUCCUGGUUGUUCUGUUGUUUACGUCGAUUUUGUCAACCCCCUGAAUCCAACAAUCGUCCCAAACAGAGAUGCUAUCUCCUCUGCCCACUCUCCAGCACAUCCCUUUUUGGAGUAGACCUUUAGCAGCCCAAAUGCUCUUCCAGGUAAAAGAAGGUAAAUUUCCCAGCUUCGCUGUUAAGAAACUAGAAUCCAGAUAAUACUUUGCUUUUAAAGUUCUGGCUAAAAGCGAAUUUGGAAAAUUAAUGAGACGCCAACCUUGUUUCGCUAAUAAUGCAAUAUUGAACUGACCGAAAUUGCGAAACCCAAUUCCACCAUUUUCUUUCAAAAAACAAAGAUUCUUCCAAGUGCACCAAUGGAUUCCUCUUUUUCAAUUCCCUUUCUGCCACCAGAAUUUGGCAACAAUAUGUUCCAGUUCAUCACAAAGUGUUCUAGGAAAUAAGAAGCAUGCCAUCGAAUAGGUAGGGGUAGCCUGUAAAAUGACUUUAAUAAAAACUUCUUUACCUCAUUGUGAAAGAAAUCUAAUACUCCAAUUAUCAAUGCAUUUUUUAAACCUAUCCUUCAGAUUUUGGAAAGCUUCCCUCUUUCUUCGACCCACCAUAUUUGGCAAUCCCAGAUAUCUCUCUGGUUCAUUCGACCUUCAAACCCCCAGCGAGUUAACAACUUGUCUUCUAUCCUCUUCGGAAGUAUUUUUGCUAAAGAAAACAGAUGAUUUUUUCAAAAUUUACACACUGUCCCGAUUGAGAUUUAUAUUCAUCCAAAAUGCCCUUGAAGAUACUUGCACCUCUGCUUGUUGCUUCACCAAACAAAACACAAUCAUCAGCGAAUAAAAGAGGAAAAAUUUGUGGCCCACUUCUACUAACCUUUACGCCAUUUAACGUGCCUCUUUUUACUGCCUGUCUCAAUAAGCUCGAUAAACCUUCGCCACAAAAGAGAAAUAAAAAUGGACUAAGUGGGUCGCCUUGUCUCAAUCCUCUAUUAGGUGAAAAUGUGUCCCCUUUAUGUCCAUUAAUAACAACUGAGUAGGAAAUGGUAGAGACACAAUUCAUAAUGGCCUUCACCCAUUCCGAAUCAAAUCCCAUCAUUAUCAUAAUUUCUUCAAUAAAACUCCACUCCACCCUAUCAUAAGCCUCAGUCAUAUCAAGUUUAACGGCCAUAAACCCUUUUUUCCCCAGCCUCUUCUGUUUUAACUUAUUCAUUACUUUGUAUUCUAGUAUCACAUUAUCAGAGAUUAAUCGACCAGGAACAAAAGCGCUCUGGGUUUCAUCAAUACAAUUCCCGAUCACCUUUCUAAGCCUGCUAGCUAUCACCUUAGCAAUAAUUUUGUAAUUAACAUUACAGAGACUAAUCGACCUGAAUUGCGUCAUUAUUAGAGGAUUAUUAACUUUGGGUAUGAGAACAAUGUUUGUGGAAUUUAUUGAACUAACCUCCAUGCCUCCAUUCAAAAUUCGAGAGCAGUAAGCAAUGACUUCUUCUCCCAUGAUCUGCCAACACUUCUGGUAAAAAACUGUUGGAAGACCAUCUUCCCCUGGUGCCUUCGUUGGCCCCAUAUCAAAAACCGCUGUCGUGAUUUCCUCCCUAGUAUAUAGAGCUAUAAGGAUCUGGUUGUCCUCCUCUUAAAUGCAUAUCUCAAUACCUGCUAAAAUCUGAUUAUUGUUCCUUCUUCGUUCAGUCGUGAACAGUUUCUGGAAGUAAAAUCUCGCAUUUUCUUUAAUUUCCUGUAAAAUCUUCAGCUCUCUUCCUUCUUCGUUCAUCAAUCUGUUAAUAGAAUUUUUCCUCUUCCUUUGUGUAGCUUGACUAUGAAAGAAUUUUGUGUUUUUGUCUCUAAAUGUCAACCAAUUAAUUCUAGCUCUUUGUUCCCAAUAGCAUUCGUCUUUUUCAAUCUCAAAAUUCAAGUUUAGUCUAGUGUCAAUUAGCUCAGCUAAAGUAUUUUCAUCCCGUUCGGCUCCUGCAAGUUCCUCAAGUUUUUUGUGAAGCUCCUGUUUAGAUUUCUUCCUACUCAUUUUCACCUCUCCUGCCCACUCUUUUAAUCCUGUUUUCAAAAUCUCCAAUCUCUGCAGCAAGUCACCUGUUGAACUCUCCCAUAUGCCUUUAACCACCUCAAUAAAAGAUUCCUCCAAUAACCACCAGGCUUCAAAUUUAAAAUUGUUAUUCCAUACCUUUACUCCUUUUUCUGUAGUAUCAAUGAGAAGAGGACAGUGAUCUGAAAACGAAUGGGAAAGAUGUUGAACCUUCACCUCUGGAAACAUCGUAACCCAACCCAUGUUGGCAACUCCUCUAUCAAGGCGUUCUCGUAUAUUUGUCUCAGGUAAAUUACCUCUUUCCCAAGUAAACCAACUACCCUCGAAGCCCACAUCGUUCAAUUGACAAUCAACAAGUGUUUUCCGAAAACACUCCAUUCUUCUCUAGUCUCUGGGAAUUCCUCAUUUCUUUUCGAAACCAUACAUGAUUUCAUUAAAGUCUCCACAAACUAACCAUGGAAUUUCCACUCCAGUGGUCAAUCUUUUCAAAGUAUCCCAUGAAACGUUCCUCUCCUGGACAUAUGUGGAACCAUAGAAUCCUGUGAAUCUCCAUUGUGGCCAAUCUUUUCAAAGUAUCCCAUGAAAUGUUCCUGUCCUGGACAUAUGGGGAACCAUAGAAUCCUGUGAAUCUCCAUUUCACACCUUGCUCAUUAUCUUCGACUAACACGUCAAUAUGCCUUUUAGAAAAACUACGAAGACUAACAUCAAUAUUUGCUCUCCAUGCCAAACAUAACCCUCCCCUUGUACCUUCAGAAUCAACUUCAAUGCCAUUAUGAAACCCACAUCUCAUGUGAACUACUUCAAUCUAUUUUCUGUUAAGUUUUGUCUCCAUGAAGAAGAUAAUUUGGGGAUUUUUUAACUUUAGUACAUAUCGAAGUCUUCGAACUGCGUCAAGCAUCGGACGUUCCAGCAUAAUAUUUUCAUUGCGACAGGUCGGCUCUUGGUAGCCGCCGAUGAUAAAAGUAUCUGUCCUUCCAUCUCACCUCUAUUUUGCUUCUUCCCCUCUUCCCCCAUUAAAACUUCAUCCUCUAGAUCAUGAUCCAUUAAUUUGUGAAUCUUAUAUGAUCAUGGUUUCUCCAAAACUGUUCCUUUCCCUUCUAAACUAAAACCCUGUAUUGGAUCACUGGUUUUCAUCUCACUACCUCUUGGAAUCCCAUUCCUUGAACCCAUCUCCCCUAAUCUGUUCUCCAUCCAACAGCCUUCCCUAACCCCCUUAUCCUCUUCACGCAGCCAAAUACUAUUCGUUGACAAGGCUCUAUGUGAUGGAGCCCACAGGGAUAAAUCCCAACUCAACUCUAUGGGAUCUGAUCCAACCAUCAUUUUUGUCUCAAUAAGAAUCAUUAUGACCCAACCGACCACAGAAAAAAUAAAACAGUGAUAAACGUUCAUACUUGAAUUUGACGUACGAACAAACACCAUUAGACGUAACCUGCUUCUUUCUCCUUAAUGGCUUCCUGACAUCAAUCUGCACCCUGACUCUCAUAAAAUUACUUUUUUCCUUGCCCAGAUUUGAUGCAUCAUACUCUAAAAAUACUCCAAUAAAAUUCCCCAGUAACGUUGCUAAACUUUUAGAGAAUCAACCCAUUGGAACAUCAUGGAUUUGUACCCAGAAUGGAACAUAUAUUAACGGUAUUUUUAACGGAUCUUCACCUCUGUUCAGAUUGCUCAGAAUUAAUAGAUGAUUGUUAAACGUCCAAGGAAGGCCCUUUAGAACUCUCUCCAAAUCCAUACUAUGGAAGAACUUAAAAAUGUACCUUUUUUCUCCCAAAUCACGAAUCUGUACCCCACAAAUGGGGUGCCAUAAAUUUGCUAGGGUACUUUUCAUAGCCGAAAAAUUUAUGAUACUUGCUGGUAAGAAACAUCCCACAAGCUGAUAAUCGCCCACGUCUGUAUGCGGUUGUAGAUCAUCCUGAAUCUGCAAGAUCUCUUAUUCUUCUUCAUUAAUUGAUAAUUGGGCUAAUUCAGUCUCCAUGGUUGCAGGAAUUAAAGGAACGCUUCCGCCAACCAAUUAAAGAGAGAUCAAUCGCGGAAAUCGUAGGGAAUAAAAUAAAAGAGAUCAAGACCCCUCAAAAUCCAAAAAAACAUAAACUUUAAACCUAAGAACCCAUGCCAGAGACGGCAGACAGAACCCGUGCCAGAGACGGCAGACUUUUUUUGAAAUAUUUAUUAUAUGCCCAGAGCAGAGAACCAGGAAGCUGAUAGACUUGCCAAGAUGGCUCACUCAGGAAGUCAAGGUUUGCGAAUGUUUAGAAGACCCCCAUUUGGAGAGUUAGGCCAAUUGGCAUAGUUUAUUUCUAGUAAUUUUCUAUUUUUCACCAAAAAAAAUAAUAUAUUGUAAUUAAAAUCUAAGAUCAAGACUUUAUGAAGACUCCUUAAAGGAAGAUUAGACCACUAAACAAUUGAAGAAGAGUCCUUCUUGUUUUCCAACUAUUUUCUCUACAAUUCCUCACAAUAUUUUGAACCUUUGUACUAAAAGUGUGGUAAAAGUAUCAUGAAAAUCAUGUAUUAGGAGUUAGAUUGCAUCUUAUCCCCUUUAUUUAAAAAAUUAGAUAAAUUAAUACUUACACAUUAGAUUAAAGAAUAAAUUAGUCUUUUCUGUUAAAAAUU